UACGUAGGGUGCAAGCGUUGUUCGGAAUUACUGGGCGUAAAGCGCACGUAGGCGGAUAUUUAAGUCAGGGGUGAAAUCCCAGAGCUCAACUCUGGAACUGCCUUUGAUACUGGGUAUCUUGAGUAUGGAAGAGGUAAGUGGAAUUCCGAGUGUAGAGGUGAAAUUCGUAGAUAUUCGGAGGAACACCAGUGGCGAAGGCGGCUUACUGGUCCAUUACUGACGCUGAGGUGCGAAAGCGUGGGGAGCAAACAGG
rnacentral:rRNA from 1 species